rnacentral:rRNA from 1 species
UACGUAGGGGACGAGCGUUGUCCGGAAUCAUUGGGCGUAAAGAGCGUGUAGGCGGCCACUUAAGUCCUGCGUGAAAUCCUGCGGCUCAACCGCAGGCGGUCGUGGGAAACUGGGUGGCUAGAGUGCGGGAGAGGAGAGUGGAAUUCCUGGUGUAGCGGUGGAAUGCGCAGAUAUCAGGAAGAACGCCCGUGGCGAAGGCGGCUCUCUGGAACGCAACUGACGCUGAGACGCGAAAGCGUGGGGAGCAAACAGG